AGAACGAACGCUGGCGGCAGGCUUAACACAUGCAAGUCGAACGCGUGUAGCAAUACACGAGUGGCGCACGGGUGAGUAACGCGUGGAUAUCUGCCUUUUGGUUCGGAAUAACCCCGGGAAACUGGGGCUAAAUACCGGAUGGUUCCUUCGGGAUAAAGAUUUAUCGCCAAAAAGAUGAGUCCGCGUACGAUUAGCUAGUUGGUGAGGUAAUGGCUCACCAAGGCGACGAUCGUUAGCUGGUCUGAGAGGACGAUCAGCCACACUGGGACUGAGACACGGCCCAGACUCCUACGGGAGGCAGCAGUGGGGAAUAUUGGACAAUGGGCGCAAGCCUGAUCCAGCCAUGCCGCGUGAGUGAUGAAGGCCCUAGGGUUGUAAAGCUCUUUUGUGCGGGAAGAUAAUGACGGUACCGCAAGAAUAAGCCCCGGCUAACUUCGUGCCAGCAGCCGC
rnacentral:rRNA from 1 species